ensembl:lncRNA
UACCAAGAGACUUUUUUGUAGGUAUUGGUGUGUUACAUGUGUGUACCGAUUUUUGUACAUGUACGUGAAACGUAGCUCGAGGCGCACUCCGUUGAAUAUGUAUAGGUGGCGCUAUCGAGGCAUUUUGCCACACCCAAUGGAAUAUUGGCCUUCAGAUGUGUUCAGGCCAGGACACUUAUCGAACAUGUGAAUUUGGGCAAGAUCGGACAUUUUAUACCUGAGUUACAAUAACUUUUAUUCCCAUGGCGAGACAUCGAACUUUGUGACGGCGCCAUGGACACGCCCUUUAACGAAAACUCAAGAUCUUCACAAUUUAAC